GAUAAAGAUGCUGAGGAUAAUAAUGCUUCAGACAUACAUGUGUAAAAUGGACAUCUAGCAAGUAGAUAUCUAAAAGUAGGUAAAAUGAAGUUUACUUUGAGUAACUAGCUCAAUGACACACAAACCAUGUUUGGCAGAGGCAAGGACCGAAUCCAUAUCUCCCAAGACAUAAAUCUAGUAAUUCAUGGGAAGUUUGCUUUUCUGGCUCUGUAACUGUCCCAGGGAAGAGCAGCAUGAAGAGAUUUUACAACUAAUGUGGGUCUAGCUGAGACAGGCUUUCAGUAAGUUGAUUGUAAUGACCUGCUUGAUGGGAAAACCUCAAGAAAUGAAGAAUAUGCUAUUUCCCUGGAUACCUGGAGCUCUAUAUCUCUUCAUGUGCUACCAGCCUUCUCCUUUUGAACAGGUCUGGAUCCUGAGUGUACUUCUUGUUUUGCCUGAUUAAAGAGCUGUCUGAUAUUUAGCAUUUUCUCUCUGUGAUGACAUUUGUAUUAGACAGUUUUCUUUCUCCACUGCAUGGAGAAAGAAAUUGUGAUCUAAACAUGUGAUCUCCCUGAGUCUCUUGCUGAGGCAGCUUCUUUACUUCUCAGUCUUUCCAAUUUUCAGACAACUUGAAUGACUUUACAAACUCUCUAAAAAUUUGUAAAUACCAAAACUUCAACAACUGUCUUCAAACUGGACUUUCUUUUGUCUGAAACUGUGGCAAAAUUAUCAUUCUGCUCCAUUCACUUCUGUCAUGGUUAUACAAAUACUACUGUUGUUAUUUCUGUCUUGGCUUGCUACUGGGUGCUCACGUGGAGUCGUUCAACCAGCCUGAGUUUCAGAGUCAGGGACCCUUCCUGAGUCCCUCCUUUCCAGAGCACAACCCACUCCCUUUACUUAUUUCUUUCCAUUUUUUGCAUUAUGGUGUGCAAAGAACCCUCAUAGGAUUUAUACUUUUAAAGGUCUGGCGAAAAACAUCUUUUAACUGAAUGUGAACAUCUUAUGGAAGGCACUGUUCAUUUGAAUUGAUUUGCUUAUCAACAUUCAACAACAUUGCUAAUCUUUUUAAUCUCAUUUUGUGUUUACUUUUAGGACACUGUUGAAAACAUAGGUUUGUGCUGAGACCUGUACCAAUCACUGAGCUGUUCUGAUCCUGCCCUCUGAACAGACUCUUUUAAAUGGAAAUACCACAGUGUCUGCUACUUUUUGAGGGGAUGGUCCUUCAGUCAUGGACACUGAAAUAAUUUGACAACUAUUUCCUUCCUGCCAAAAGAAUACAAAAAAGCCCUGGGAGCCUGGAACAAAAGCCCCCGAAUUAUGCAGCAGCCUGAAAUGUUCCUACUACAGGUGACUCAGCUUCUAAAUGCAUUAUUUAAAGAGUCCUAUGAUAUCAGUCUGCUGCUAUGGAAGUGCAAUCUAUACCUCCCUUUUCCACUGGUGUGUCUUUACAAAUCCUAAAUCUGAUCACAAUCAUCAAAAACAGUCCUACAGAGAGACUUGUGCAGUUUGCAUUCAUCUUCAUCCAUCUUUGCAGCUGCCUCCAGCAGCGUUCUCAGUGUACAUCAGAACUGAUGCUGACUCCUUUCUGAUGAAGGCUGGAACCAUAUUUACAUUUCUAGUCUAUGAAAGGACAUUUCAAGAACACCUAAACUCUGCUGAGGGAUUUUCUGGGAGAUGUGGAGCAGCAUCAGAACAGCAGUUUAAGAUGCUCAAGUGCUCUGUGAAAAGGAAGGAAGAGGUGGAAACUUGCAAGUUUGAAAUACAUGCCAAGACAGAGCCCUGUGCCUUGUCUCAGGGCAGGGUUUUAAUGAUUAUGUCAUACAGGUGCAGCAAAAAGCUUAAAUUAUGGCUUAUCUUCAAGAUUCAAUCAGUAAACCACUGAAAAGAAGCUACACCUCUCAUGUCACUUGAACAACUUCUACACCUCUGGAAGGUCACAGAAAUGCCUGGAAGGAAUCUCAAAGAUCAUCUAAUCCAGAUGUGCAUUUCUUUUUGUUGUUGUUGCAGCGUUGCUUAAAUAAAGUGGCCUGAACAUAUUAAAAUAUUCAGGGAUUAUCUCUAAGGCUCAUUUUACAUUACUGAUCUGUUACUGUGAGGUUUUUGUCAAACUGACACUAUAAAAACUCUGAUCUAUAUUUCAAAAUGCAAUGGACAAAUCAAUUUUAAAAUAGAAUUUGCUUUCCAGGUUUAAAACUGAAAGUUAUUACCCUGUGCUUAUAGCAUGAAUGAGAUGCACCACAUUUCUUUCAAGAGAGGACUACAAAUCAACAAUCUCAUUGGGAUAAAUUAUGGUGCCAGAGCAGAGUUGAUGAGAGAACAAUUUUAUUAUUGUACCACUUGUUUUGAGGAUGAACAGGAAUUUCCAAAUUAAAGAAUCAAGAGUGUGUGUGAGUAAAAUCCCUCCAGCCUGGACCUUUUCAUAACACUGAUGUUAAUUUCCCUCUUCUCCCAAAUUUCAUUUUUAAAGUCACUUUUAAUGGCACUCCUUAAUGUGGAAAGAAAUGUUACUGGCUAUUUCUACAGUGGUUGCAGAUGAUGCCACCUCCUGACUACUGGGAAGAAGUGUUGGAUAAGAGUCAGAACAGAAAAUGUGUUCAUUUUUCAGCUCCCCAACUACAUGCAACAGAACUUCUGGAUGAUAUUUACUACCAGGCCCCAUUUUCAAAGUUACUCUAAGUUAUUCUGUGUAUUCACCUGAGCAGGAACCUGAAAGCCAUAUACUUGCCCUAGUAUUUCUAACUAUGGGAAACCAAGAGUUAACUGAAUAUAUUUGGAAAAUGAAUGGCAUGAGAGUGCAGAGGAACUAAUUAAUGCUCCUAUCUUUUUAAAUGCCUGUUGAGAUCCGGACAAGAAAAAUGUGUUUUGCCCUUUAAGAAAAAUUGAAAACAAUGUCAAUUAUGACAGUAGUAUUGGAGGAAAAAGAGCAGCUGCCAUAUGGUGCUAUGGCACAUACAGGCACUACAAGGAUGAUUGUUCACUAAAAUGAAUAGAAAUUUACUGAUGGGAUGUUACUGCUUUCCCUAGCAUUGCAGUAGUGCUUGAGA